UCGUCUUUUUUGCUAUCGACAGUACUCCUAUACAUAUAGCGGUCAAGAUUAACGUAAAAAUUGCCCGGAGUUCUCGUUUAAUCAGUGUUCAAAAAGGACAACGUUGAGGUUGUUUGGGGUACGUUUGUACCAUAGGCGCAUCGUUUCACGAUCUUGCUGAAAUCGCAAUGUUUGACGGGGGUCCUUCUCCUUAGUUACAGUUGCUGAGCUAGGAUUGGACGAGGACCGUUCGAGGGCGGGGUUUUGCGAACGGUCAAUUGAGAAUGAGGUGUUGUCACGGCACAGCGCCCCACCCCCAGAGAUCCCCCUUCCUCCAUUUUGAACUGCUCAUGUUCAUUGUUUAUGUUGGUUGCGGAGGUCUUUAUUCUAGAGACGUCAGAUUUAUCGGGUGGCUGCAAUUAGAAGAAAGGGCUUUACUUUUGACCUAAUCUCCCAGUCGAUGGGAGUGUGUUCUCUGCAUAUUUAUUCGGGGACUAAGGAACAAACGGAGGCUGCACUAGCAUCACCAAAAGGGAGAGAUGAGGAGUAGAGGGAAAGCAAAAGAUGUUGAAUAGAUUAUUUGCUAUAUUAGAGAUUGCCAUUCAAAAAAUAAAUGCAUCAAAUUAA